GACGAACGCUGGCGGCGUGCUUAACACAUGCAAGUCGAGCGGUAAGGCCCUUUCGGGGGUACACGAGCGGCGAACGGGUGAGUAACACGUGGGUGACCUGCCCUCAGCUCUGGGAUAAGCCUGGGAAACUGGGUCUAAUACCGGAUAUGACUUCGCAUCGCAUGGUGUGGGGUGGAAAGUUUUUCGGCUGGGGAUGGGCCCGCGGCCUAUCAGCUUGUUGGUGGGGUGAUGGCCUACCAAGGCGACGACGGGUAGCCGGCCUGAGAGGGCGACCGGCCACACUGGGACUGAGACACGGCCCAGACUCCUACGGGAGGCAGCAGUGGGGAAUAUUGCGCAAUGGGCGGAAGCCUGACGCAGCGACGCCGCGUGGGGAUGACGGCC
rnacentral:rRNA from 1 species